rnacentral:tRNA from 1 species
GGUCCCAUAGCUCAGUUGGUUAGAGCGCCUGACUCAUAAUCAGGUGGUCCAAGGUUCGAGUCCUUGUGGGCCCACCA